AUUGAACGCUGGCGGAAUGCUUUGCACAUGCAAGUCGAACGGUAGAGGGGGGCAACCCCUUGAGAGUGGCGAACGGGUGAGUAAUACAUCGGAACGUGCCCAGUCGUGGGGGAUAACGUAGCGAAAGCUACGCUAAUACCGCAUACGAUCUGAGGAUGAAAGCGGGGGACCUUCGGGCCUCGCGCGAUUGGAGCGGCCGAUGGCAGAUUAGGUAGUUGGUGAGGUAAAGGCCCACCAAGCCGACGAUCUGUAGCUGGUCUGAGAGGAUGAUCAGCCACACUGGGACUGAGACACGGCCCAGACUCCUACGGGAGGCAGCAGUGGGGAAUUUUGGACAAUGGGCGCAAGCCUGAUCCAGCCAUUCCGCGUGCAGGAUGAAGGCCUUCGGGUUGUAAACUGCUUUUGUACGGAACGAAAAGGCUCUGGUUAAUACCCGGGGCUCAUGACGGUACCGUAAGAAUAAGCACCGGCUAACUACGUGCCAGCCGCCGCAGUAA
rnacentral:rRNA from 1 species